rnacentral:rRNA from 1 species
AGAGUUUGAUCAUGGCUCAGAUUGAACGCUGGCGGCAGGCCUAACACAUGCAAGUCGAGCGGUAGCACAGAGAGCUUGCUCUCGGGUGACGAGCGGCGGACGGGUGAGUAAUGUCUGGGAAACUGCCUGAUGGAGGGGGAUAACUACUGGAAACGGUAGCUAAUACCGCAUAACGUCGCAAGACCAAAGAGGGGGACCUUCGGGCCUCUUGCCAUCAGAUGUGCCCAGAUGGGAUUAGCUAGUAGGUGGGGUAACGGCUCACCUAGGCGACGAUCCCUAGCUGGUCUGAGAGGAUGACCAGCCACACUGGAACUGAGACACGGUCCAGACUCCUACGGGAGGCAGCAGUGGGGAAUAUUGCACAAUGGGCGCAAGCCUGAUGCAGCCAUGCCGCGUGUAUGAAGAAGGCCUUCGGGUUGUAAAGUACUUUCAGCGGGGAGGAAGGUGUUGAGGUUAAUAACCUCAGCAAUUGACGUUACCCGCAGAAGAAGCACCGGCUAACUCCGUGCCAGCAGCCGCGGUAAUACGGAGGGUGCAAGCGUUAAUCGGAAUUACUGGGCGUAAAGCGCACGCAGGCGGUCUGUCAAGUCGGAUGUGAAAUCCCCGGGCUCAACCUGGGAACUGCAUUCGAAACUGGCAGGCUAGAGUCUUGUAGAGGGGGGUAGAAUUCCAGGUGUAGCGGUGAAAUGCGUAGAGAUCUGGAGGAAUACCGGUGGCGAAGGCGGCCCCCUGGACAAAGACUGACGCUCAGGUGCGAAAGCGUGGGGAGCAAACAGGAUUAGAUACCCUGGUAGUCCACGCCGUAAACGAUGUCGACUUGGAGGUUGUGCCCUUGAGGCGUGGCUUCCGGAGCUAACGCGUUAAGUCGACCGCCUGGGGAGUACGGCCGCAAGGUUAAAACUCAAAUGAAUUGACGGGGGCCCGCACAAGCGGUGGAGCAUGUGGUUUAAUUCGAUGCAACGCGAAGAACCUUACCUACUCUUGACAUCCAGAGAACUUUCCAGAGAUGGAUUGGUGCCUUCGGGAACUCUGAGACAGGUGCUGCAUGGCUGUCGUCAGCUCGUGUUGUGAAAUGUUGGGUUAAGUCCCGCAACGAGCGCAACCCUUAUCCUUUGUUGCCAGCGGUCCGGCCGGGAACUCAAAGGAGACUGCCAGUGAUAAACUGGAGGAAGGUGGGGAUGACGUCAAGUCAUCAUGGCCCUUACGAGUAGGGCUACACACGUGCUACAAUGGCGCAUACAAAGAGAAGCGACCUCGCGAGAGCAAGCGGACCUCAUAAAGUGCGUCGUAGUCCGGAUUGGAGUCUGCAACUCGACUCCAUGAAGUCGGAAUCGCUAGUAAUCGUAGAUCAGAAUGCUACGGUGAAUACGUUCCCGGGCCUUGUACACACCGCCCGUCACACCAUGGGAGUGGGUUGCAAAAGAAGUAGGUAGCUUAACCUUCGGGAGGGCGCUUACCACUUUGUGAUUCAUGACUGGGGUGAAGUCGUAACAAGGUA